rnacentral:rRNA from 1 species
UACGGAGGGUGCAAGCGUUAUCCGGAUUCACUGGGUUUACAGGGUGCGUAGGAGGGCAGGGAAGUCCGUGGUGAAAUCUCCGAGCUUAACUCGGAAACUGCCGUGGAUACUCUCUGUCUUGAAUCCCGUGGAGAUGAGCGGAAUAUGUCAUGUAGCGGUGAAAUGCUUAGAUAUGACAUAGAACACCAAUUGCGAAGGCAGCUCGUUACACGAAGAUUGACUCUGAGGCACGAAAGCGUGGGGAUCAAACAGG